CCAACAGGGAUUGCCCUAGUAACGGCGAGUGAAGCGGCAACAGCUCAAAUUUGAAAUCUGGCUCUUUCAGAGUCCGAGUUGUAAUUUGCAGAGGGCGCUUUGGCUUUGGCAGCGGUCCAAGUUCCUUGGAACAGGACGUCACAGAGGGUGAGAAUCCCGUACGUGGUCGCUAGCUAUUGCCGUGUAAAGCCCCUUCGACGAGUCGAGUUGUUUGGGAAUGCAGCUCUAAAUGGGAGGUAAAUUUCUUCUAAAGCUAAAUAUUGGCCAGAGACCGAUAGCGCACAAGUAGAGUGAUCGAAAGAUGAAAAGCACUUUGGAAAGAGAGUCAAACAGCACGUGAAAUUGUUGAAAGGGAAGCGCUUGCAGCCAGACUUGCUUGCAGUUGCUCAUCCGGGCUUUUGCCCGGUGCACUCUUCUGUAGGCAGGCCAGCAUCAGUUUGGGCGGUGGGAUAAAGGUCUCUGUCACGUACCUCUCUUCGGGGAGGCCUUAUAGGGGAGACGACAUACCACCAGCCUAGACUGAGGUCCGCGCAUCUGCUAGGAUGCUGGCGUAAUGGCUGUAAGCGGCCCGUCUUGAAACACGGACCAAGGAGUCUAACAUCUAUGCGAGUGUUUGGGUGUCAAGCCCGAGCGCGUAAUGAAAGUGAACGGAGGUGGGAACCCGCAAGGGUGCACCAUCGACCGAUCCUGAAGUUUACGGAAGGAUUUGAGUAAGAGCAUGGCUGUUGGGACCCGAAAGAUGGUGAACUAUGCUUGAAUAGGGUGAAGCCAGAGGAAACUCUGGUGGAGGCUCGCAGCGGUUCUGACGUGCAAAUCGAUCGUCAAAUUUGGGCAUAGGGGCGAAAGACUAAUCGAACUAUCUAGUAGCUGGUU
rnacentral:rRNA from 2 species